UACGUAGGGGGCAAGCGUUGUCCGGAUUUAUUGGGCGUAAAGAGCGUGUAGGCGGUUUGGUAGGUCCGCUGUGAAAACUCGAGGCUCAACCUCGAGACGCCGGUGGAAACCAUCAGGCUAGAGUCCGGAAGAGGAGAGUGGAAUUCCUGGUGUAGCGGUGAAAUGCGUAGAUAUCAAGAGGAACACCUGAGGUGAAGACGGGUUGCUGGGCCGACACUGACGCUGAGUGCGCGAAAGCCAGGGGAGCAAACGGG
rnacentral:rRNA from 1 species